ACUCAGUGACCUCUGCUCCUGUGGAUUGAGUCUUGUUAACUUUAAAAUCUGCGUCCAGUUCAACAAAGACGACAGCUUUCUACUGUUGAGUCUAAAUACAGAGAUUUGACUGAAAUAAUGCUACUACUAGUCAUACAGCAAGUGGCUCUUUCACCUGCAUCUGUUCAUCCUGUCGCAUUAAUGGUGAAGACAGCUGUCCCCAUUAUGCUUCAGUGGGGUGAAGUAUAGUGAGAAC
rnacentral:lncRNA from 1 species